CUUGAGUACUGUUUCUGUGAAAUUAAUUCAUGAAUAUUUAUUAGAAAUAUUUAUGAAUUAUAGUUGAAUGGUUAUUUAGUGUUUAAUUAAGUGAAGUAGCUUGAAUUUAGUUUAAAGGACUAAAUUGCAUACGGUAUAAAAGUUUAAUUAUAGAUUAAAGAUUAGUAAAUGGACUAAUCUAGCAAUUAGACCCUAAGUGCCAUGUGUGUGAAUGUAUGAUAUAACAUGUGUAAUAGUUAGUAAAGA
rnacentral:lncRNA from 1 species